UACGAAUGGGGCAAGCGUUGUUCGGAAUCACUGGGCGUAAAGCGUGUGUAGGCGGUUAAUCAAGUCAGAAGUGAAAUCCCAGGGCUUAACCCUGGAAUUGCUUUUGAAACUGAUUGGCUAGAGUACUGGAGAGGUUAGCAGAAUUCCGAGUGUAGAGGUGAAAUUCGCAGAUAUUCGGAGGAAUACCAGUGGCGUAAGCGGCUAACUGGACAGUAACUGACGCUGAGACACGAAAGCGUGGGGAUCAAACAGG
rnacentral:rRNA from 1 species